rnacentral:ncRNA from 1 species
AAAUAUGGCUGGUGCACGGAUCUUUAUUGAUGUGUGUGCUGGCUAUAUAAGCCCCGGUGAAUGUCGGCGAUAACUAUGGAGAUCGUAGUUACAAAAUCUGGCCAUAUGCUGGAAUCCCCGCGAAUGUUCGAGUACUUAGGGUUCAGACUCCUAAGUGAAAAUCUUGAACCGAUGCGGACAAUCAGCAGGAAAGAUCCGCCGUUGGCGGAAAUCCUCAGAGACUAUACGCCAGAAUUCUUCCAAGAAAGAAGCACGGGGAAGAAUAUGAUAUAGUCCGGCCUCAUGGGCGACCAUGAG